rnacentral:rRNA from 1 species
GACGAACGCUGGCGGCGUGCUUAACACAUGCAAGUCGAACGGAAAGGCCCUGCUUUUGUGGGGUGCUCGAGUGGCGAACGGGUGAGUAACACGUGAGUAACCUGCCCUUGACUUUGGGAUAACUUCAGGAAACUGGGGCUAAUACCGGAUAGGAGCUCCUGCUGCAUGGUGGGGGUUGGAAAGUUUCGGCGGUUGGGGAUGGACUCGCGGCUUAUCAGCUUGUUGGUGGGGUAGUGGCUUACCAAGGCUUUGACGGGUAGCCGGCCUGAGAGGGUGACCGGCCACAUUGGGACUGAGAGACGGCCCAGACUCCUACGUGAGGCAGCAGUGGGGAAUAUUGCACAAUGGGCGGAAGCCUGAUGCAGCAACGCCGCGUGCGGGAUGACGGCCUUCGGGUUGUAAACCGCUUUCGCCUGUGACGAAGCGUGAGUGACGGUAAUGGGUAAAGAAGCACCGGCUAACUACGUG